CUACGGGGUGCAGCAGUGAGGAAUAUUGCACAAUGGGGGGGAACCCUGAUGCAGCAACGCCGCGUGGAGGAUGACGCAUUUCGGUGUGUAAACUCCUUUUAUAUGUCAAGAAAAUGACGGUAGCAUAUGAAUAAGCACCGGCUAACUCCGUGCCAGCAGCCGCGGUAAUACGGAGGGUGCAAGCGUUACUCGGAAUCACUGGGCGUAAAGGACGCGUAGGCGGGUUGGAAAGUCAGGUGUGAAAUCCUACAGCUUAACUGUAGAACUGCACUUGAAACUUCUAAUCUAGAGUAUGAGAGGGGGAGAUGGAAUUAGUGGUGUAGGGGUAAUAUCCGUAGAUAUCACUAGGAAUACCUAAAGCGAAGGCGAUCUCCUGGAACAUUACUGACGCUAAGGCGUGAAAGCGUGGGGAGCAAACAGGAUUAGAUACCCCCGUAGUC
rnacentral:rRNA from 1 species